rnacentral:rRNA from 1 species
GGGAUGGCGGCAUGCUUACCAUGCAAGUCGACGGUAACAGGUGUAGCAAUACAUGCUGACGAGUGGCGGACGGGUGAGGAAUGCUUGGGAAUCUGCCUGUUAGUGGGGGACAACCCGGGGAAACUCGGGCUAAUACCGCAUACGCUCUACGGAGGAAAGCGGGGGACCGUAAGGCCUCGCGCUAACAGAUGAGCCCAAGUCGGAUUAGCUAGUUGGUGGGGUAAAAGCCUACCAAGGCGACGAUCCGUAGCUGGUCUGAGAGGACGAUCAGCCACACUGGGACUGAGACACGGCCCAGACUCCUACGGGAGGCAGCAGUGGGGAAUAUUGGACAAUGGGGGCAACCCUGAUCCAGCAAUGCCGCGUGUGUGAAGAAGGCCUGCGGGUUGUAAAGCACUUUUGGCAGGGAUGAAAAGCACUGGAUUAAUAACCCAGUGUGUUGACCUAACCUGCAGAAGAAGCACCGGCUAACUCUGUGCCAGCAGCCGCGGUAAUACAGAGGGUGCAAGCGUUAAUCGGAAUUACUGGGCGUAAAGCGCGCGUAGGCCGUCGAGUAAGUCGGAUGUGAAAUCCCCGGGCUUAACCUGGGAAUUGCAUUCGAUACUGCUUGGCUAGAGUGUGGAAGAGGGAAGCGGAAUUUCCGGUGUAGCGGUGAAAUGCGUAGAUAUCGGAAGGGACACCAGUGGCGAAGGCGGCUUCCUGGUCCAACACUGACGCUGAGGCGCGAAAGCGUGGGGAGCGAACAGGAUUAGAUACCCUGGUAGUCCACGCUGUAAACGAUGAGAACUAGAUGUUGGGGGGUAUAACCCCUCAGUGUCGCAGCUAACGCGUUAAGUUCUCCGCCUGGGGAGUACGGCCGCAAGGUUGAAACUCAAAGGAAUUGACGG